ACGGCUCGAAUCGUCUUUCUCCAUGUUCAUUGGCCUUCGAAGUGGAUGCCCUUCAGUAAGUUCUUCAAAUCCAUAGCAAUGAAUGUCGAUAUAUCUGAGUAUUUGCUUUUCAUAUACGCACACCUGCUGCAGCAGAAACAUAAGCUUACAAAUUGGAUCUUUCGCUGAAACAUACUGGCUACUGCUUCUGUUCCAAAGCCAACAUAAAAGAGCUAAAUGAUUUCAAAUUCUAGGAAACAUCUCUUACGUGACUUAGCAGAAAAGGCGUUCCGAUAAAAGAUCAGCUGCUGAUAUUUGUUAUUUCAGUAGACUAAUUGAAACUUUUCGCUGUUCCUUUUGCUAUCAGACAAAAACGUUAAGAAAUUAUUGAUGAUAUUGCUGAUUAGAUUCUUUUACAACACCUGCAGUGGGCGGUAAAGUUUCACACAAGUUAGCAAAUGAACAAGAGCAGGAAUUGCACAGAAGAAAUGAGAGGAACGAAAUGCUCAAAUUGAUGUGUCGGUACAAACGCAUCUGUACGAGAAGAAAGGUACUAUCUAUUGUUUGCUUUGCACGAGAAUUUCUUCUAUUACCAAACAUACUCUUCGUAUAAACUUGACGCAUUGGUUGCGUUCAAAAACAACUAAUUUUUUCUAUUAUGAUACCAGAGGAAGAGAUUUGUACGUGAGGCUAACAUUUACUUGUAAAUACGCAGGUGAAGUUAGAGUACGUAAAUGAUGAAAAUGUUCUAAGAGGUAUUAUAAAUCUUGUGAAAACAUUUCGAGUAAAGAGAUUGGUUACAGCUUCAAGGUAAUAUGAAAUUAAAGACGUUAUGUUCCUAUGGUUCUUGCUUUUCAGCUUUCUAAAUUUAGGCAUGCGCAAUUGAUAUUUGUUAAGACGAAAAGGAAGUAAAAUUCAUGCUUUCCUGGCAUCCAUUGAUCGGUUAACUCUCUAAACUUAAAUAUGACGAAAGUGCGCGGUAAGGCAAAUACACUCACCUGAUCUUACUGGGUUCAGAAACUCGAAUGAGAUGAUGAGUUGACAUGCAGAUCCAUGUCGAAGCAAGCUGAACUGCUCGAAUGCUGCCAGAUAUGGCUGGUCCGCGAUGGAAAUCACAUCUCCACCAGGUAGGCUCGAUAUUCAAAAGAGCAGCCAUUGCUCCAAAUUAGUUGCUCUCAAUUUCUUGUUUUCUUUCUUCAUCCAGACUGUCACCAAAACUUUUUUCAGUACAAGGGACUAUAUGCAGAGAAUUCAGUUUUUCAAAGGUCAUAAAUAGAAAUCCAGAAUUGCAGAAAGAUAGUAUAUGAGUUUCUCACAGGCGUAUAAAUGAAACUUUCAACAUUUCUUGUGCAGCGGAGCUAUUCGAGAAGAUACUGAGACAAAAGUUGAGAAUGAAGAAAGUCAAGAAUUGUCUAUACCUGCACUGGAGCCAUUAACCAAUGAAUCUGAAGCAUACGCAGCGAAUGAAUCUGAAGCAUACGCAACGCCGUCGAGUGAUCUGGUGCCGACUUAUCAUUAGCUAUCCUCUAAAGAGAAUACCAUAAGCACCGCUUGUCACAAACAUUACGUGUAUGAUGAAAAGGAAAAAAUAAUCAUGAUUUAAAACUCCGGAUUUUGAGAAGCUUCUAAUUUUUGGAGUAGCGAAGCAAUUCCAAAAUGCAGGCUAAACAGUGGAGUAUGCUCACGUAGCAAACUCCACAUCACGGAAGCUGAUGGAAACAUUAUGUGCGAGGAUUGAAUAAAACUUAAUCACAACCAUCUUAUAAAUCUGAUUAUGCAGG
rnacentral:lncRNA from 1 species